AAGUCGUAACAAGGUUUCCGUAGGUGAACCUGCGGAAGGAUCAUUAAUAAUUUGCUGAACCUAGCGUUAGCGAGGUUCUGCGAUCAACUUAUAUUUAAAACCCAACUCUUAAAUUGUAUAAUUAUGUAUUUUUUUUUUAAUAAAAAAGAUCACUUUCAACAACGGAUCUCUUGGCUCUC
rnacentral:misc_RNA from 1 species